rnacentral:rRNA from 1 species
UACAGAGGUGCCGAGCGUUAGGCGGAAUCACUGGGCUUAAAGCGUGUGUAGGCGGAUGCCUAAGUACCUUGUGAAAUCCCACGGCUUAACCGUGGAACUGCUCGGUAUACUGGGUGUCUUGAGCCACUUAGGGGUUACCGGAACAAAUGGUGGAGCGGUGAAAUGCGUAGAUAUCGUAAGGAAGACCAGUGGCGAAGGCGGGUCUCUGGACAGUUCCUGACACUGAGGCACGAAGGCCAGGGGAGCAAACGGG